CAAAGUCGAAUAUAUGCUCAAGGAAAUAUGGGUGCCUCCUCCAACGCUACCCAUAUCCAUUUGUCAAUGAUGACUCUGCUUGAUGUCGCCGCAUACCAGCAGAAGAUAAAGCUCAACCAUAGAUUGGAAGACCGGGGCUAUAUAGAUUGAUGUCUAAAACCAAUGCAGAUCACCCUACUGAAGAAGGAGAGGAAGUUAGAAAUCAGUUUCAGUUUUACAGGUGCAAAAUCAACUCAUUCCACUGUAAUACUGGACAUCCAGAUGUCCAGGAUGGUUAUUGUACAUGGAGAAUCAGGAUGGAUUAGAAUGGAUUAUUUAUUACCUUGGUGACAACGUCGGGUGGGCGCUGAAUCGUGGACAUGUC